rnacentral:rRNA from 1 species
UACGUAGGAGGCGAGCGUUAUCCGGAUUUACUGGGCGUAAAGAGGACGCAGGCGGCUUUUCAAGUCAGAUGUAAAAUCUCCCGGCUCAACUGGGAGGGACCGUCUGAUACUGUUGAGCUUGAGUGCAGCAAAGGGAAGCGGAAUUCCCGGUGUAGUGGUGAAAUACGUAGAUAUCGGGAGGAACACCAGUGGCGAAAGCGGCUUUCUGGGCUGCAACUGACGCUGAGGUCCGAAAGCGUGGGGAG